UAUAUAUAUAUAUAUAUAUAUAUAUAUAUAUAUAUUGCUUUUACUAGUUCUAAAGACAUUUUGAAUAACAUAAAUUACUGUUAAAUAACAAUCAAUAUUAAAAUCAUGUUUUUGAGUAUUAUUAUUAUGCUUUUAUGUUGUAAAAUAUUGGUUCAUCAAACACCAUACACUGACAUUUUUUGUUCUGUACCAUUUCAGUACAUUUAAAUAAUCAAAAUCAAUGACAUUUUGAUUGUUAUCGACAAAUGAAGGCACAUAGACUAGCACACAAUCCUGUAAUAUAGUGACAAAAGUGUUAUUACUUUAUAUAAAAUAAACUAAAAGUAUUACUAUAGCACCGGCUGUUUCCAUUUAUAUUUUUAAAAUUUUUUUUAUUUUUUUAAAUGAAAACUUGUUCCCGUAAUAGCUGAAAGAACAUACACACAAAAUGUAUUCCACUGAGUCAAACCGGCCAUUUCACAAUGUGCUAUCGAGUUCAGUUGCACUCUUAACUACUCUCUUUAAACACUGCCAGGCAUCCAGACCUCAGUGCAAGACUUGAGAAUCACAGCUUCCUGAAUGGGGAAUUUCACAAGCCUCCAAAGUGAAACCAUAGAGAAUAAUGGGCUUGUAAGAGUCAUCUCAAGCAGCAGCCUCAGCACACACUGCAAACAAACACCGACGAGAGUGUUACACCUGGCACAUCCCAGAUUCCUGUAGAGGGGUUAUCAUGGUCAGUUUCAUCCUAAUGGCUCUUCCAUGGACUGUUUUUCUUCCAUGGAAUGUCUCCAUCUUUGCCUCCUGUCCAGCUUCUCGAUGACUUCUUAAUUAGAGGCGCAGGAUCCGAUCUGUCGUGCUCUGGUGAACAAAGGAGAAAUUGUUCGAGGUGGGACGCCGCUGAACCUGAACUGAAUGAUGGCACGGCUGAAGUAGUGGACCUGAACUGGAGCAGGUAACCGAACCGCAUCGAGCUCCAGAUACAGAACAGGUGUGUGAUCUAAAGAGGAAAAGAUACUCCUAGGUGUUUAGUCCGACUCAUCCGACAGCUUCACUGACAGCUCCAUUUUCUACCUGACUAUGAUGGUUUUCAGACAUUCAGGUCAUUUGAAAUAUGUCUACUUGGCACAGUCAGCUGUUACCUUCAGCUGUUAACCUCAAAGGUUGAGAGAUUAAGUCCACCUUGGGAUGAUGUGAGCAUCUUUUAGGGCUUUGGGCCAGUAAUUGGAGUUUGAAACCCACACUCUUAGAAAAAAGUUUAAGUUCAAGUUGAGUUUUUUGUUUGUUUGUUUUUUAAAUCAUUGAAUGGCACACAAGUGCAUGAAUUAUGAUGCUUUGUACAUUCAAGUGAGACACCUAACCAAAACUAGUAAGUCUAAUAAAUAUCAUGGAAAAAACUCU
ensembl:lncRNA